rnacentral:rRNA from 1 species
UGGGGAAUAUUGGACAAUGGGCGCAAGCCUGAUCCAGCCAUGCCGCGUGAGUGAUGAAGGCCCUAGGGUUGUAAAGCUCUUUCACCGGUGAAGAUAACGACGGUAACCGGAGAAGAAGCCCCGGCUAACUUCGUGCCAGCAGCCGCGGUAAUACGAAGGGGGCUAGCGUUGUUCGGAUUUACUGGGCGUAAAGCGCACGUAGGCGGACUAUUAAGUCAGGGGUGAAAUCCCGGGGCUCAACCCCGGAACUGCCUUUGAUACUGGUAGUCUUGAGUUCGAGAGAGGUGAGUGGAAUUCCGAGUGUAGAGGUGAAAUUCGUAGAUAUUCGGAGGAACACCAGUGGCGAAGGCGGCUCACUGGCUCGAUACUGACGCUGAGGUGCGAAAGCGUGGGGAGCAAACAGG